rnacentral:rRNA from 1 species
GAUGAACGCUGGCGGUAUGCUUAACACAUGCAAGUCGAACGGUCUCUUCGGAGAUAGUGGCGGACGGGUGAGUAACGCGUGAGAAUCUGGCUCUAGGUCUGGGACAACCACUGGAAACGGUGGCUAAUACCGGGUGUGCCGAAAGGUGAAAGGUUAACUGCCUGGAGAUGAGCUCGCGUCUGAUUAGCUAGUUGGUAGGGUAAAGGCUUACCAAGGCGACGAUCAGUAGCUGGUCUGAGAGGACGAUCAGCCACACUGGGACUGAGACACGGCCCAGACUCCUACGGGAGGCAGCAGUGGGGAAUUUUCCGCAAUGGGCGAAAGCCUGACGGAGCAAUACCGCGUGAGGGAGGAAGGCUCUUGGGUUGUAAACCUCUUUUCUCAGGGAAGAAGAAUGACGGUACUUGAGGAAUAAGCAUCGGCUAACUCCGUGCCAGCAGCCGCGGUAAUACGGAGGAUGCAAGCGUUAUCCGGAAUGAUUGGGCGUAAAGCGUUCGCAGGUGGCAUUGAAAGUCUGCUGUCAAAGAGUCUGGCUCAACCAGAUACAGGCAGUGGAAACUUCAAAGCUAGAGUGCGGUAGGGGCAGAGGGAAUUCCUGGUGUAGCGGUGAAAUGCGUAGAGUUCAGGAAGAACACCGGUGGCGAAAGCGCUCUGCUAGACCGCAACUGACACUGAGGGACGAAAGCUAGGGGAGCGAAUGGGAUUAGAUACCCCAGUAGUCCUAGCCGUAAACGAUGGAUACUAGGCGUUGCUCGUAUCGACCCGAGCAGUGCCGUAGCUAACGCGUUAAGUAUCCCGCCUGGGGAGUACGCACGCAAGUGUGAAACUCAAAGGAAUUGACGGGGGCCCGCACAAGCGGUGGAGUAUGUGGUUUAAUUCGAUGCAACGCGAAGAACCUUACCAAGACUUGACAUGUCCGGAACCCUCUUGAGAGGGAGGAGUGCCUUCGGGAGCCG